rnacentral:snRNA from 1 species
ACUUUUUUAAAGCAGCGUAUAUACUAAAAAUGAUACAGAGGAGGUUAGCACAAGCCUGUGCAAGGAUGUGAUGCUGAUUCACAAGUCGUUCCAUAGUUUU